rnacentral:rRNA from 1 species
AUACGGAAGGUGCGAGCGUUAUCCGGAUUCAUUGGGUUUAAAGGGAGCGUAGGCGGAGCGCCAAGUCAGCUGUGAAAUCCCGCGGCUCAACCGUGGAACUGCAGUUGAAACUGGCGCCCUUGAGUGCACAUGAGGAUGGCGGAAUUCGUGGUGUAGCGGUGAAAUGCAUAGAUAUGACGAAGAACACCGAUUGCGUAGGCAGCUGACCAGACCGCAAAUGACGCUCAUGCACGAAAGUGCGGGGAUCGAACAGGAUUAGAUACCCUGGUAGUCCGCACAGUAAACGAUGAAUACUUGUUUUCGGCGAUAUAAUGUCGGAGGCAAAGCGAAAGCGAUAAGUAUUCCACCUGGGGAGUACGCCGGCAACGGUGAAACUCAAAUGAAUUGACGGGG